UGAAGUACUGAAGUAAAAUUACACUUAGUUUCGACCUAAUAUUUAGAGCUAAGGCUCCUUACUU
rnacentral:tRNA from 1 species